rnacentral:lncRNA from 1 species
CCACAGAGCCUAGGACUUGCCGAUCAGAAGGUCGGCGGUUCAAAUCCCCGCGAUGGGGUGAGCUCCCCUUGCUCGGUCCCUGCUCCUGCCAACCUAGCAGUUCAAAAGCACGUCAAAGUGCAAGUAGAUAAAUAGGUACCACUGCGCACGGAAAUAGGUAUCGCUCCCGCGGGAAGGUAAACGGCGUUUCCGUGCGCUGCUCUGGUUCGCCAGAAGCGGCUUAGUCAUGCUGGCCACAUGACCCAGAAGCUGUACACCGGCUCCCUCGGCCUGUAAAGCGAGAUGAGCGCCGCAACCCCAAAGUCGGUCACGACUGGACCUAAUGGUCAGGGGUCCAUUUACCUUUAACAUUGGAUACAACCUCCUGAGUUCAAGUGAGCUGCUUUCUCUAUAGCUCACCAUGUCGUGACGUUUUGGUUGGUCCUAACAGACGCAAACCUCAGCGCCUAGGACUUGCCGAUCGCAUGGUCGGCGGUUCGAAUCCCCACGGCGGGGUGCGCUCCCGUCGUUCGGUCCCAGCGCCUGCCAACCUAGCAGUUCGAAAGCACACCCCCCCCCGUGCAAGUAGAUAAAUAGGGACCGCUUACCAGCGGGAAGGUAAACGGCGUUCCGUGUGCUGCGCUGGCUCGCCAGAUGCAGCUUGUCACACUGGCCACGUGACCCUGAAGUGUCUGCGGACAGCGCUGGCUCCCGGCCUCUAGAGUGAGAUGAGCGCACAACCCUAGAGUCUGGCAAGACUGGCCCGUACGGGCAGGGGUACCUUUACCUUUUAACAGACGCAAAGAUUUUGGCAUUACUGCCAAGCAAAAGGCUGCUGCUUUUACGGGUUGGUGGGUCGUUUUCAAUCACUCUGCUCAGCCCCAAAGCCUUUGGUGGAACUCUCCCAGGAGAGGUAUGUGACGAUUGGGUGCCAAACCACCAAGGUUUCGAUGCUAAGUACUGUACGCUUACUUGGCAAUAGGUCAUAUGAUAUUGGACUCCGGUGGGACUGCUUCUGAGUAACUACGCGUAAGAUCAGGUUGUAACAGCCAAAAUGCUACAAUGCUGAACGGAACUGAAAACUACCCUGCGCUUGUAUCCUGUGGCGCAAUGGGUUAGUGCAUCUGGCUGCUAACCAGAAGGUUGG